rnacentral:tRNA from 1 species
UGGGGUAUCGCCAAGCGGUAAGGCACGGGACUUUGACUCCCGCACGCGUAGGUUCGAAUCCUGCUACCCCAGCCA